rfam:Musa acuminata subsp. malaccensis Doubled-haploid Pahang (DH-Pahang) genomic chromosome, chr4
UCGCACCUGUUGAUUGAUGAGGUUCCUCUAGCUGUAGUUGUGGAACCUUCACUCAAGGUGCAAAAAACAAAAGCUGUUCUGCAGCAGCGGCCAGACAACCGUAGAGAUGGAUCCACAGAUGAUUUGUUUGCAAUACAAGUCAUCUACUAAUUCUAUCUCACACUU